GGGAGUGACUCACAAGCCCAGAAGGAGAAAAAUGUGAAUGCUUCCAGUGGUGACAUCCUGUCUGCUGGGCUGUGUGCUCAAAGUGAAGGCAGGAAAGUGGGGACCUGGUGGCUGGACGCCCCAAGUCAGUGAUUUUCUCCUGAAAUGUCAGCUGAGAGCAUUAUGGGUUCAGACACUAAUAAACUAGAGGAAAGAUUCCACAAUGAUGCUUGCUGGCACCAGUUCCCCAAAACGGCCGCUGCCAGAGUCUGUGUCCUGUGGGCCCACUCCAGUUGCCGCCUGCCUCUCUGGGAGGCUCACCGACAUCAGCAGAUGGUGACUGCAGUCAUGAAAUUAAAAGACGCUUGCUCCUUGGAAGAAAAGCUAUGACAGAC